UUUUUUGUAUGCUUCAGAAUAUCCAACCAUUUUAUUUCAUAUAUUUUAUAUAUAGUCGGGAAUUCUGAAUGCAAAACAAACAUUUAAAUGUUUAAAUUCAAAACAGGCUAGAUUUCAGUAAAGACAAGCUGUACUUUACCCUGGAAUCUUCAGUGCAGAGCAUCACUUCAGACAGCCCUGGAUUUGUGGUACUUUCCUCAUUAUUGCAUUAACGACACAAAUAUAGUAGAGGGUGAGAAGGAGAGUAGGAUGAAAUGAGUGCCAAAGGAAAACAGGAUGGACAGAUUGGCAGGAAAAGAGUAAGAAUGGAUGUGUGCAAGGAGAAAACUCAUGAACAAGAAAAAUGGAACUAAAAAGGUUAGCAUUAAGAACUGUAGAAGAGCAAAAGUGACCAUUUUUAUCCUUUAAUCCAUAAUAGACAGUGCCAGUCAAAAAUUUGGACACAUGGGUUUAUUUGUACUAUUCUCUACAUUUUUGAAUGAUUAUGAAGACAUCAAAACUAUAAAACAUAUAGAUAUUAAACUACUGUAGUGGUCAUUUUCCCCACUACUACUAUAAAACUACAGACAAAAAUUAAGGCCACAGCACAAUUUUUGGUUUUCACUCAUUUAUGAAUUUAUUGAUGUGCAUCUGUGAAAAAUAUUUUUUCUGCAAACUCCACCCUGGUUCUUCUCGGUUUCUCAUUAAUGAAGGGCUUCUUCCUUGCUUUAUUGGACUUCAGUCCUGCUUCUCAGAGCCUGAUACAAACUAUCCUAGCAGUGCACUUCAUACCUGCACAUAGCAUUUCUCAUUCCUUUUGAAGGUCACUUGAUGUCAUCCUACAUCUCUGGCAUUAGAAUGUCACUUCCGCCCUUUACCUGGCUUUUCUGCUCGUUCCCAGUGUCUCCUGCUUCACCUUCUUCUUGUGUACUUCGUACUUAAAAAUUUUGAACCUGGAUGGAUCCUGCUGCUCAGCAUAGCCUUCUGCCAGCAGAACCACAAUUAAACCAGGAUUUAAAUGAAGAUUUGUUUAAAACAUAGAGGAGUCUCUUAUUUUCCUGCUGCUGUAUAUGGAGUUAUGCACUGACCAAGAAGGUAUUAAGAACUAAAGAUUGAGGGGAGAUGGAGCAGCUCUGAGUUGGGACUCAGAAGGUUCCCAGUCAAAUCCCUGCAUAGGCAGAGUGAUGCCCAAUCCGUUAACCCCAAUUCCUGGGUGACCCUACUUUCUCCACGCCAGUUUCAUGAGGUCUUCUCCUGGGAUGCUUUUCUAGCUGUUCUGAAGGAGUUCCACAAAUAUGCUGAAUACUCUGUCCCGGAACAGGGUGGAUUUGAGGUGACGGCGAGGCAUCAUGCAGGAGAGGUGACAGCUCAGAGGAGAAAUGGAGAUUUAUUAAGAAACAGAAAAACACAAGAAACACUACAAAAUAAAAGGACCACGAGGGGUGAAGAGUAAGCAGGGAUAAACAAAGACUAAUUACAAAAUGGGUCAGGACAACAAGGGGCGGGCAGGUAACAAAGAACACAGCAUAAGACCUCAAAGAACAUCAAACAAACAUCAACGACUCCAGCAGGAACAGAACAAGAUCAGGAACUUAAAUACAAAAACUGAACCGGGUAACGACACAGCAGGAGUGUGACAUAGACAAUUAACCAAUCCGGGAGAGUGCAGGGCAACGAGCAAUCAGAUAAACACACAAGGGCAGGCACUAAAACAGGCAACGGCUGAAACUAAUAAUUAAACUCAGGGAACUCUAACAAAGAAACUAAGAAACAAAAUGUACACUAGGGGAAUCACAGACAGGACCUGUCUGCAUAUUUGUCUUCAACCUGAGCCCUUGGAUGAAUCCUUCAUAUGCUGUCUCACAAAGGCCAAACAUCUGGCAGCUGGCAGGGGAAAAGAGAUCCACACCAGAUUGGAGUUGUGCACGAGAGAUGCUCAGCCGGUGCUCCCCAGGCUGACCCGAAAUGUCUCAUCACUGGGGAGCCAGGCGCAGCCUACCACAUGCCACUUUAUGAAACACUGAUUAUUUGUGAGUUAAUGCGAUCACCGUGGGUCCCACGAAGACUUGCACAUGUAACAGGAAUGGAGACUUAAAUAAUUUUAAAUGGGUGUUUAUUUGUAAAGUGAGCAGACGUGUGUUAAUGUUUACAUGUAUAUGUGUGAGAGUGCUUACCUGCCUGUGUGUGCAUGUUUAUUUUUUGUCCCUCUGUGCCGGAGGUUUAAAGAUUUGUAAGCAGAACAGAUUAAUUCGAACAUUUAUUUUAUUAUCCAUCCAUCUUUUAUAAUUGCUUAUUCAGCCCAGGGUCCCAGGACACCCUGUAAGGGAUUGCCCAUCCACCACAAGGCACACAUCUAAACCCUUUAGAGACACCAAUUACCUGCCCACAUGUGAAAUCCAGAUCAUGAUUUUGUUUCAACGAUACAGGGAUACUGUAGGGAGUGUGAGUCACAUGCUUACUCAGAAAGCCACAUAUACACCUUCAGCACCACACAGACAGAGACAGCCUACGCUUCUCAAAGGCAGUUGCACACACAUGCAGUACCCCUUCAUUUCUAUAUUACAGAACAUCAGAAGCAUGCUCCAGUACAGAAAUGCAGCUUCUAUCUUUUCAGCAUUUUGACAAACCUAUUCUCACAAAUAAACACACAUAAAACAUAAAAGGUUUGUGCAAACCUACCAACAUGUAGCAGAAAAAUAUCACAUACUGUUUCAUUUUACUUUGUUUGGGUUGUAUUACACAUGCACUGAGACUUGAAUGCACACUUGCUUGUUGGUUAGGGGAUAUCUAAGUAAUCGUGAACAUGCAUGCUUUCGGGGGGAGUGGGGGGGGGGGGUUAGGUUCACCACUGAAAACUCAAUCUCUGCAGACAUGGAGGUACAAUUAUACUUCUGCUCCUUGAUCUUGCAUGUAUUUAUUACAAUUUUCCAUCAAAAAAUGUCCCUGUUUUAACAACUGUAGAACUGCAGGAUGUCCAGGAAAAGAAAACUGCAACUUGAAACCAGAAUUUUUUAGACAAACAUAAGUUUUGUUUAUAAAAGA